rnacentral:misc_RNA from 1 species
CAGAGUUAACAACUCCUAAACCCACUGUAAAUUUACCUUUACUUGCUCCUUCGGCAGGCGGUCCCUGGGAGGGGCUGUACUUGCCUGCCGACGGGAAACAAAACUCUUGCUAUGUUCAGCAGUCUGAGUAUUUUUUAAAAAAAAUCA